rnacentral:rRNA from 1 species
GACGAACGCUGGCGGCGUGCUUAACACAUGCAAGUCGAACGGAAAGGCCCUGCUUUUGUGGGGUGCUCGAGUGGCGAACGGGUGAGUAACACGUGAGUAACCUGCCCUUGACUUUGGGAUAACUUCAGGAAACUGGGGCUAAUACCGGAUAGGAGCUCCUGCUGCAUGGUGGGGGUUGGAAAGUUUCGGCGGUUGGGGAUGGACUCGCGGCUUAUCAGCUUGUUGGUGGGGUAGUGGCUUACCAAGGCUUUGACGGGUAGCCGGCCUGAGAGGGUGACCGGCCACAUUGGGACUGAGAUACGGCCCAGACUCCUACGGGAGGCAGCAGUGGGGAAUAUUGCACAAUGGGCGGAAGCCUGAUGCAGCAACGCCGCGUGCGGGAUGACGGCCUUCGGGUUGUAAACCGCUUUCGCCUGUGACGAGGCGUGAGUGACGGUAAUGGGUAAAGAAGCACGGGCUAACUACGUG